rnacentral:lncRNA from 1 species
CACCAUGGCCUCCCAGCAAGACUUUGCUGCCUGGCUGCACCUGGCCAAGUGCUGGCACAUCUGGGACCUGGACGGCCGUGGCUCCCACAAGGGCGCGUGGCGCCUGCACAUGAACGGCUCCCCUCUCGUGGUCGUGGGCACCCCACACUCCCCUUACUCAACUUUCCAGCCCAAAGACGUUGCAUCUUUCAAUACAACACAGGUCUCUAAACCUGCAUCUAAUCUGGAGCUCGGCGGUAACGACGUGCAGACAAGAUAACCUUCAUGUCAAGUUUUCAUCAGUCGAAAGCUUGUCCCUCAAUGCAAAUAACGUUGAAAAUGCAUUGAUUACGAGUUAAGCAACGUAUAAUGCACGUUAAUUCAACGUCAAAUGCCUGUAGGGUAGCUGGCACGUCGCGUGUUAAAUCAAUAAAAUGCGUGGACUUACAAGCAGUUCUGACUGGCGUACGCUCUAUUGCAUUAUAAUAAUAGUACGAUGUUGCAUUUAUCCGAUGUACGUUGUGAGUAUUAUUACCUUAUUGGAUCUUAACUGCAUUUCAUCUGAUACCCAUUCUGUCAUAAUUUGAUUUGAUUGACUGAUUUAGAGGAUGUUUUUGUUUGAGUUGGAAAUGAAGAUAUAAUUGAAAUGCUUAUUUCAGUUAUGGCCAUUGAGCUUCUAGUAGGAUUAGACUACUGUUCGCAAGGCAUAUUGUUGGUAUCGAACAUAGUUCGGUGAUAUUUUAAGUUGUUAAAUACACAUUAUGUUGCGUAGAAUUGAAUCAAAGUUGCGUAAAUACUUAAGAAACAUUGUAAUUUUUCACCAAAAAUAUGAUUACCAAAAAAUUAGAUUAUGUGAAAUUGUAUCGUAAUUAUAACCAACUUUAAACGGUCUCUCAAUUACUUGGUUGCAUUUAAUGGAGUACUCGGUCAGUGCGGUUGACUCGUUCGGUGCGUCCGUUGCCUAUUGUUAAUGCGUAGAUAUUGUAUCGUGAUCCAUGAUCAGGUUGAAAUCAUUUAAAGUGCCUGUAUUAAUUUACAAUUAUGCAUUGUGUUAAUAAGUAAGAGUAGUUGGUCUUGUGGAAAUAAUUCACGAGCUGCCAACGCUAAACUUUGUUAUUGCUGGAAAUUUUGUAGUUAAUGAAUUAAAACCUGUAGUUAAACUAACGGACAAAAGGGUUCACUGGAUAAAAAUCAGUGAGGAGUGAAGUCAAAUAAUAAUCUUAACAAUAAUAUUGUAAUUGGUUUA